UCUUCCAUUCCAUUCAAUCUUAAACGCGUUUCACGAAUCAGACGCUCAUCUUCCGUUCCUUUUUCUCCUUCUCUGCGUUCCGCUCAUCGAUUCAGAUCUUUCGCUCUCUUUCUCCAAAUCACUCUCGAUUCCAUCUUUGCUUCCAUGACUCUAACGCCUUCAGAUUUGUCCAUAAGGUUUGAAAGAUUUAAUCUUCAUUGUCCAAAGUUUUCUGCAAAGUUUCAGGUUUGCCACUCUUUCUGGUGUCCGAAUCGGUCAUUCUGGUUUUGGGAAUUGGGCGGUGAAGUGUGGACACAGUAGAUUGAUGAUGGCGGUGGAAGAGAAUAGCGAUUGCCUUCGUACUUGCGGAAAGAUAUGGAAUUUUUCGGUGAAUUUUUCAACUGUUUGGAUAGUUCGAUUCAAUUAUUGCGUUUCAGAGCGUCUGUCAUCCUUCAUGAACAUAAGCCACGAGAUUGGAAGUUUGACUAAUAGAUUACAUUCAUCGGAAGCGUCCUUUACACAUGUCGAUGCGACGACUGAUGCUAGAAGAACGGGAGCUUUAGGUGGACUUGAGGUUGCGUUGGUGGGGCUGUGACAUGUUGGGAUUGACGGAGCAAACAUCGUCGCCGUCAACACUAAUAGCGGCAGCGCACCAGUGAAGCUGAUGGGAAAUACUAAUUUUGAAUUUGGGAGGGCAGCACAUAUAUGAUGGUCCAAUUGGUGACCAUGAUUCACAUCUGAUCCAGUACUCUGAGGUAUGAGAUAUCAGAGAGGGGAAGGAGCUAUGGCGCACAGAGGUGACCACAACCAUAACUGUCUGUUCAAUAUCGUCUUGAUUAGUUGUAUUACCAAUGCACUAGACACUCAACAUGACUCUCAUUGUAUAUGUGAUGUUAACUUAGAUGAUGGGCAUAUGAAGCAAAACAAGACACCACAUAACCAAAGUGCAUGUAAACCCUCAUUGUAUCCUACCCUUUUCAGUAUUUGUUUUUCCGGCUGAAUUUUUCACUACUUUUUAAACCGUCAAAUAACCAACUAUUAAAACAGUGGGAUUCUAUCCUGCCGGUGCGUGUGAUAACUAUGUAUUGGAAUUAAUAUUAGCAUGUAAAUAUUAUUUUUAAUGAAAUCAACCGUGCACGCCUACCUUUUGUGAUGAUACCGAUUUUUAUUUCUCUUUGUACUUCACCUUUGUGAUUGAGAUCCAUCGUGGUUUCAAUAAGAAUGAAGUCACUUUUUCUUUCAAUUCAAUAAUGGUUUUCAAGGUUCGAUUA